rnacentral:rRNA from 1 species
AGCGGCAGGCCUAACACAUGCAAGUCGAGGGGUAACAGGGAGCUUGCUCCGCUGACGACCGGCGCACGGGUGCGCAACGCGUAUGCAAUCUACCUCUUACUAAGGGAUAGCCCAGAGAAAUUUGGAUUAAUAUCUUAUGUGAUAUGUGACUGGCAUCGGUUGCAUAUUAAAGGUUACGGUAAGAGAUGAGCAUGCGUCUCAUUAGUUAGUUGGUAAGGUAACGGCUUACCAAGACUUCGAUGAGUAGGGGUCCUGAGAGGGAGAUCCCCCACACUGGUACUGAGACACGGACCAGACUCCUACGGGAGGCAGCAGUGAGGAAUAUUGGACAAUGGACGGAAGUCUGAUCCAGCCAUGCCGCGUGUAGGAAGACUGCCCUAUGGGUUGUAAACUACUUUUAUACAGGAAGAAUAAGAUCUACGUGUAGAUUGAUGACGGUACUGUAAGAAUAAGGACCGGCUAACUCCGUGCCAGCAGCCGCGGUAAUACGGAGGGUCCGAGCGUUAUCCGGAAUUAUUGGGUUUAAAGGGUCCGUAGGCGGGCUGUUAAGUCAGAGGUGAAAUGCUGCGGCUCAACCGUAUGCACUGCCUUUGAUACUGGCGGUCUUGAGUUAUAGUGAAGUGGCUAGAAUAAGUAGUGUAGCGGUGAAAUGCAUAGAUAUUACUUAGAAUACCGAUUGCGAAGGCAGGUCACUAACUAUACACUGACGCUGAUGGACGAAAGCGUGGGUAGCGAACAGGAUUAGAUACCCUGGUAGUCCACGCCGUAAACGAUGGAUACUAGCUGUUCGGUUUUCGGACUGAGCGGCCAAGCGAAAGUGAUA